rnacentral:rRNA from 1 species
CCUACGGGAGGCAGCAGUGGGGAAUAUUGCGCAAUGGGCGAAAGCCUGACGCAGCGACGCCGCGUGAGUGAUGAAGGUCUUCGGAUCGUAAACCUCUGUCAGCAGGGAAGAACGGUCACUGUGCUAAUCAGCAGUGAAUUGACGGUACCUGCAAAGGAAGCACCGGCUAACUCCGUGCCAGCAGCCGCGGUAAUACGGAGGGUGCGAGCGUUAAUCGGAAUUACUGGGCGUAAAGCGCUCGUAGGCGGUAGGUCAAGUCACGGGUGAAAUCCCCGGGCUCAACGUGGGAACUGCCUUUGAAACUGGCAAACUGGAGUGUGGUAGAGGAUAGUGGAAUUCCAGGUGUAGGGGUGAAAUGCGUAGAUAUCUGGAGGAACAUCAGUGGCGAAGGCGACUAUCUGGAACAUAACUGACGCUGAGGAGCGAAAGCGUGGGUAGCAAACAGGAUUAGAUACCCUUGUAGUC